ACGUCUUUUUCUCUCUCACUCUGAAGAUGAAACCCAAGUGGAAGAUGAAUCGACAACGACAUCCACCUUGUGUAGAGCGUCUCCAAUUGAUUGAAACUGGGAAUUGGUCAUUUGGGUACUCCCAUUUUCCUGACACGUAAUCACAUCUAGGCUCCAAUCUCUGUCCGAUUUGACGGCCUCCAGGAAUUGGUCUCUAGUGAUCUGAUGCUGAGCGCUUCCUCAUGGUGAAAAGAGUUCUCAAGCAAGCUUGUAUCUUUACUUAUCGAACACCGUGUGCCAUAGCCGGGUUCUUCAACAAAAAUUCAAUUCUAUUCAAGUUUUCGAGUUGGGUGGUAAUCAUGCACCGAGUUGCUCGAGAGUUCUCUAUCAAUGGAGGAAUUGGAUAUUACAGAUGUGUUGUGGCUUAUGCUUCAGAUUUGAUAUUCUCUGGUGUAAGUUUGAAUCCGUAGAAGAGGACAUAAAACAAGUCUAAGUUAGUUUGGACCAUAUGGGGGAAGAAUGGAUGAGGAUUCACCAAAUCCUCCAGUUUCAUUGCGUGCCUGGAUUUCUGCCCUGAAGACAGUGGCUUAGGAAGAAUAUAAAAGCAAGCCAAUCUCAUAUUGGAUUCUUCUACUUCUAAGCAGUGUGACAAUGCUCGUAGCGUUUCCUGCAUCAAGCCUUCUAUCUCGUAUCUAUUUUGCCAAUGACGGCACUAGCAAGUGGAUCAUUUCUUAGGUGGCUGUUGCAGAGUGGUCUCUAAGACUCUAACUGCUUUGAUAUUACUGCCUACAUACUUCUUCUGCAAAAAGUCUCCUACCCCUGUGAAUUAGCACAUACAUUAUCUUAUGUUGUGCUUAGGUUUCCUAAGUGCUGCUGACAAUCUUAUCUAUGCAUAUUUUGCUUAUAUUUGUUUGAAAGGCCAUAGAUUAUGCCUGUUUAUAAUCGUUUUCUACUUCUUCUGAUAUUGAUAAGUG